UACAGAGACUGCAAGCGUUAUUCGGAUUCACUGGGCGUAAAGGGUGCGCAGGCGGUUGUGUGUGUCAGGUGGGAAAGCCCGGGGCUUAACCCCGGAAUUGCGCCUGAAACUACAUGACUAGAGCAUUGGAGAGGGUAGCGGAAUUCACGGUGUAGCAGUGAAAUGCGUAGAUAUCGUGAGGAACACCAGAGGCGAAGGCGGCUACCUGGACAAUUGCUGACGCUCAGGCACGAAAGCGUGGGGAGCAAAAGGG
rnacentral:rRNA from 1 species